GUUAAAUCUCGUAGUAAUCAAUAUAGCAGAAGAAUAAUGAAGAGUACAUACUACAAAAACUGUGCAAUUUGUAGCAAGAUUAAUUUUUGUUUAACAGCUGUUUUUAUUACAUUUUAUUUCGUAUUAUUACUACCAAAUACUGCUACCGUUUGUUAAUGUUAUGCACAUGGUUAUCUUGUACUUGCAAGUAAAUGUAACAUUUAAAAAAAAAAUAAUGAAAAAAUAAGUCAUUUAGGCUAUUUGAUAAUAACAUGCUAAAUGAACAUGUUUUGCUUUUUAAUUCUCCUUCACUCAGUCUUUGUAUAAUGUAUAUUUUUAGACGAGCUGAUCGCCAACCAGGAGAUCAGAAUGAUCGCAUCUGCUCCUGCCACUUUAAGGAUGGUAAGAAGGAGGGGGACCCUGCAUAUUUUGCAUGGAAUGAAGGAAAGGCCAUGGAUUUCUCUGAUCCUGAAUUUACAAAAAGGAGGAAAAAACUCAAAAGUGAGGAGUCCCUGUCAUCUUAAGAUGGACCAGUUGCAGAUUCCACAAGCACCAAAAUGUCAAUAUCAAGAAAAAUUGAUAUCAGAGCACAACUACUCAGCAUCCUGCACAUUUAACUGUACUCAAGAAAUGCAGCGCCUCUCAACAGAAAUACAACUGGAAAAGGAAUUGCUUGCCCUAAAAAUAGAGUCUAGUAAAAGGAAGCCAAUAUCAAUCCACGAUAUUAAAUACAACGAAGAGAAGGUAUCUGAUCAGCAGGGGCAUUUUCUCUAUAUAAGAAGAAAAUGGAGACUCCCUACCCACCUGAUGUAUUUUGUCGGACAGUUUUCUGUACAUUGCAGUCACCAAUAUAUCCAAAUAUCAUCACCGGCCCAGACGUCAUUCACUCCUUUGAAUUGUGCUGGUAGCAGUAAGGUGUCAUCAUUUGAGAUGGUCACAGUAUCCAAUACACUGAAGUCACAGGACUCAAAUUUCAUACAUGUUCACAGUAAAGUACUGAGAGGGCCUAAGGUUUGUAUGGAGUUCUAUGGGAAAAUAAUUGGUGGUCUUUUCCCUAUACAAGAUGCUGUCUGAUGGCGUAGUGUAGAAUGUAGCGUAGAAUGUUUUCCAAGUCAGCUUAAAUGCAAAGGGUCUCUGCCAAAAUCUUUUGAGGAUUUUUCCUCUGCUAGAGCAUCCAUGGAUGCAAUUGAAACAACCCAGGACAUCCCAACACAUAUGGAUAAUCAGGCCAUGGCCUACAGUACAUGUAUGUACAAAA